AUGAAAGGAACUUCUAGCCCAGAAAAAAAGAAGGAAAAGAAAAAACUGAAAGAAAGCGACUAUGAAGCAAUGGAUGGAGCAUUUUUGGAUAAGUUAUUAAUUUCUAAGUAUGCCAAGUUAAAGAAAGAGUGUAAUUUAAGCUUAUUUGAUCUAAUAAAAAAUAUGAGUUCCUCAGAAAGUGAAUCAGAAGGAAAAUCGAGUAAAAAAAAAUCAAAGAAAAAAGACAAGUCUUCCAAGAAAGAUCGGAUGAGUACUCAAGACCGCAAAAAAAUCGAUAGUAAAACUGAGAAAGCUCACGCAAAGGACAGCACUGAUUCUCAUUCUAAAUAUAAUAAGGACACAAAUCGUGAUCGGAGGAAUUAUGAAGUUGAAAGAAAGCAUUCAGGCAAAAAAUCUCAUCAUGAUGAGAGAGACGGCUCAUAUGACAGAAAGACUAAUUCCUCUAAAAGUAAUUACGAAAAAGUCAGGGAAAGUGACAAAAAAAGUAAAAGGUCUGACUAUAAAACAGGAAGUGAGUAUUAUGAGUCAAAGUGUCAAAGGAGUCAUGAUUCGGAGGAAGAAACGAAAAAGAACAAGAAAAGGAAAGGAGACUCUCACAGAAAACGAUCACCUGAUGAUGACCGCAGGAUUUCGCCCAGAAACUAUCAUUCCUCUCACAAAGAAUCUAGUAAAUAUCAAGAUUCUGACACAUAUCAUUCCAGGAGAAAGUAUGAAGAUGAUAGGAAAAAGGACUACCACAAGGAGAAAGAAAAACGCUCAAGAGAGACCCCAGAACAUGAAGUUAAAUAUGCGGACCCUAAAAAGAAAGAUAAAAAGCGUGAAAAAGAAGAGAUGAAAGAGUCAAAGAGACAUAGUGAUAAUAGUCAUCUUGCAUCUAAAGCAAAUAGAUCAAGGCAGAGAUCAAUGAGUGAUAGCGAUGAUUCAUACCAUGACCCAAGACCAGACAGGAAAGAUGCUGGCUCCAAGAAGAAAAGUAAGGCAGAUAGUUCCUCGGAUGAAUCUAGCCCCAGAUUGAAGAAAGGAAAGAAAGAAGGAGGUAAAAAUAAACACUCCACCAAGGAAUCAAAUUCUAGUAAAAAGAAACUGAAACGUAAAGAUGACAGUGACGAAACCUCUGAUGAUUCCUCAUCAAAGAAAAAAAGGUCAAAGCGUCAGAAAAAAGGAGUGCUCAUGAUUCUAGUUCCGAGUCUGCCUCAGAAACUAGCUCUAGCAGUAAUUCUGAAAGCACGUCCGAAUUAG
rnacentral:lncRNA from 1 species